GUGGCCGGGUUGGCUCAGUGGUAGAGCAGGCUCACAUAUACUUGGAGGUUUAUGCCUCAUCGCAGAGGUCCAGUGUUUGAAUCCGACCUGUGAUAAUUUCCUUUAGGUCUUCCCCCUCUCGCUCUCCUUUCUCACCUACCUGUCCUGUCAAAAUAAAUGUGGAAAAGUC